AGGGCACCACCAGGAGUGGAGCCUGCGGCUUAAUCUGACUCAACACGGGGAAACUUACCCGGCCUGGACACUGGAAGGAUUGACAGAUUGAGGGCUCUUUCUUGAUUCAGUGGGUGGUGGUGCAUGGCCGUUCUUAGUUGGUGGAGCGAUUUGUCUGGUUAAUUCCGAUAACGAACGAGACUCUAGCCUAUUAAAUAGGCUCCCGGCUUUUAAACGCCGGGAGGACUUCUUAGAGGGACAGGUGGCGGUUCAGCCGCACGAAAGAGAGCAAUAACAGGUCUGUGAUGCCCUUUGUUGUCCGGGGCCGCACGCGCGCUACACUGAAGAGAUCAGCGUGCUUUAUGUUCCUGCUCCGACCGGAGUGGGGAACCCAGUGAACCUUCUUCGUGGUUGGGAUAGAAGAUUGUAAUUAUUCUUCUUGAACGAGGAAUUCCCAGUAAAUGCGAGUCAUAAGCUCGCGUUGAUUACGUCCCUGCCCUUUGUACACACCGCCCGUCGCUACUACCGAUUGAACGAUUU
rnacentral:rRNA from 1 species